rnacentral:lncRNA from 1 species
UCCUCCCUGGCAUCAGGUCUUCUUGCUUACCUUUCUUGUGGACACACAGCAGUGAGGGAGGACAGAAGAAGGCAGAACUCCUGACCCUCCUAGGAGCAAGAUCUAGACAUAGAAAUUGCUUCUGCUCUCCAGGCAGGCUGCCAGCCCAGUUCCAAGAUUUCCCAGCUGCUGCCGUUCAGACUUGCUUCAGCAUUUGUCAGGGAUGAGUGACUUCGGAGUCUGGGUCCUUGCCAAACCACCCUAGGCAGCUCAUUGCACUAAUCCAAAACUGUAAUUGGGAGGUAGGAGGGGGCAGUGGGAGAACGUCUUAUCCCCACCACAGCCCUGAGUUUUUGUUAACUUAGGAUUAUAAGAAUAAUGAACAAACUCAGAAGCCUGUCUCCUUUAUUUAGUUAGUUUUGGGGCUGUAGCUAGCAAUCCAUUAUUGUCUGUGCGAUGUGUUCCCAGUCCAGCCUCUUAUCAGAGGUGUUUAGCUAUGCAGUGCACAUAAGGAUGCCCAUCGGUAUUGAUAUAUAGAUUCCCAGCACAUCCAUUGUGUUUUACAUGCCUUGCAAUUAGCUUUUGCUUUAUCUACUGUGUGCCUACCUCGCUGUACGUGUGCCAGGAAAAAGAAGAGUCACACUGGGAGGGGAGGACUAGUAGGGCUGAAGAAUUACUGAGGGAAAGUGGAAAGCAAUUUGCAAUCUGAUAAAAGCAAUGUAGGGCCAGAUCCUGCCAAAUGCUGAUGCUGUGGGGAGCAGCU